GACGAACGCUGGCGGCGUGCUUAACACAUGCAAGUCAAGGGGGCCCAGCAAUGGGCAACCGGCGAACGGGUGCGUAACACGUGAGCAACCUACCGAACUGUGGGGGAUACGCCGGCCUAACGGCCGAGUAAUACCGCAUACGCUUUCAGUGAGGCAUUUCAUUGAAAGGAAACCCUACGGGACAGAUCGAGGGGCUCGCGGCCUAUCAGCUAGUUGGCGAGGUAACGGCUCACCAAGGCCAACGACGGGUAGCUGGUCUGAGAGGAUGGCCAGCCACAUUGGGACUGAGAUACGGCCCAGACUCCUACGGGAGGCCAGCAGUGGGGAAUCUUGCGCAAUGGCCUAACGGCUGACGCAGCGACGCCGCGUCGUGGGAUGAAGCUC
rnacentral:rRNA from 1 species